UCCCGGAAUUCCCGCACCAAUCCCGGCCCCUCGGCGUGGCGGCACAAGGGAUCCGGCUCCUUCUCCCGCCCCGCGCUGGGGAAGACGGGGGGAAGAGGGCGGGAGGAACAGGAAAAGGCGUCAGCGCGAACCCGGCCGCCUUCCCCUGUCCCUCCGUGCGGGAGCCGUCAAGGGCAGCAGGGCUGGAGGAAAUGGGAAUCCAGGACAGCACCGGCGGGGAAUGUUCUUUCCAGGAGCGCUGCACCCUCCUCGGGUCGUUUUUAUACAGGGAACCUGAACUCAUGGAGUUCACAGUACGCCUGAGCAAGGGGGAGACAAAGUCCUGUGACCUCAGGAACCAGUGACGGAUAUCUGCUGGCAAACACUUGGAACAGUUCACCCCGAGUGACCCAACUGCUCUUCAUUUCAGGAGGCUGGAAAUCAAAAUGUGUCUGGUGUCAGAGGAAAGCUGUCAGGAUGAACAAGACCCAUCCCUGCUCUCCUCAGCAGCUUUUGGGGCUCUCAGCUGAGAGGCUGAGAACUCCACUGGCUCUUCAAGCUGGGGACAAAUACCACUCCAGGCAGAAGGAUUACUGCUGUCACCAAGCCUAAAUGGGGAAGUAAUUUCCCAGUAAUUUCCUGCUCAGAGGAGGAAGGUGAACAGUGAUGCUGUUGACAUCACAUCGAUUGCC